GGAUGACUUCAGUGGCUCCCUUAACUAGUUCUGUCACUGUAAAACCCUACAGUCAUUCUUGCACACAUAAAGGACAAAUAAGCUGGAGAGGACGACUCAGACGCUUUCAUUUUUAACUAUUCACCAAUGGAGGAGAAGGCAGAAUGCCUAAGCUAGGUCUCGGUGGCCAAUAGGGUAGCUGUGUGUCUCCCACAUGACUCGCUGCCCCUGUCUUUCACAUGGGCUGUAAUUUAGUUCAAUUCAGAACUGCAGAUAGUACAGGCUUCAGAGCAGCCAGAGAUGCCUGUGCACAAGUGCCUGAGCUCCGAGGGACUUUGGGAAACACUUGGCUAUCCCCCUCCUGCCUGGACCCCGGGACUCUGCACCUGCAGGACAGACAGCCCGGCCGCCGCCUCUGCCGUGCCUCCGGGGACGAGGAACCAGCACAGAUAACCGUUUGGAAAUGGCCAGACAUAAUGAUCAACAGAGCCCGGCCUGUCUGGAUCCCAGCCAGGUCCCCCGCUACAAUCAAGGAGCCUGCGUGCAGUGCAUGCCCGACCUAUCCCACUGCUCUGCAGAUCUGGGAUGGAAGUCUUAGACAGACUGCGGAAAGAUUAAAGACAACAAUAUCCCCUUUCUCCUACCCCAGACGGCCUCGAUUUUUUAACCCCUUCCUUGCCUCCAAAACCAAGAGGUCUUCUCGGAGCCCAUGCACGUCCCGCAGGGACCCUCCGAACUCCCACACCCUAUUCCAUAGACGCCCACGCCUCAUUUGGUACAGAAAUCGCAUCUCCACAGACCCACCGGGAUAUUUUAGGAUUCACAGCGGUGCUCACAAAACAAAACGCGGUUUGCUGGUGCGGGGAGGAAAUGCAUUUCUGAAUGAACUUGAGCCGUAUGCAAUCCGGAGAAAGUCAAAGGUCUGUGGAAAGAUUUCUUGCAAACCUUGCAGAAGGUUAUACUGGUUUCUGAUGAUGCUGUUCUUUAAGCAUCUCUCUCGCUCUCAUGCGUGUGCGCACACACACACACACACACACACUCACUCCCAGAGACACACUCAGCCAGGCACGUAUAUCAUUCUAUCGCAGAGAAACCCAGGUUUGCUGGUGAUGUCAUCACAUAUAAAAUUUCGCCUUUGUGGGCAACAUUUUCAAUCACCUAAUCACCAAUGUCUGCUGGGUUUGUGCCCAUAG
ensembl:lncRNA